ACACCUCAACUCCUCAUGGUUUGCCAUGAUGAGCUUGGACUUUGGGGGUCUUGCCGGCCUAUGGUUGGCUCCUCUCAAAUGGAUCAGCUUGCCAGUGUUUGGUGGCAUCACAGGUGUGAUAAAUAUCUACGCUUGUGGUUUCCACCAUAUAGCCUUCAGCGAUGAAGGUUCUCUGGAGCUCACAAAUGUCCCUCCUCAGCGAGGACAGCUUUUGAAC
rnacentral:misc_RNA from 1 species